CGGUCUCUUCCGUCCUCCUCGUUUCUAGCUGCUUGCUGUGAGUGUCUCGGCCUGUACGCGGGGAAGAGGGGAUAAUCCGGGGCCAUCCUCUGCCGGGUGCUGGUCCGCGCCCGCCUCUCUGCGCGCGUCGUCGCUAUGCCUCGCAAAAUCGAGGAAAUCAAGGACUUUCUGCUCACAGCCAGGCGAAAGGAUGCCAAAUGCUUGGCAGUGAAGGAGCUGAAAUGAACCAGACAUGCUGAUUUGAAAUGUAAUAAAAUUUUUAAAAAAUC